rnacentral:rRNA from 1 species
AGAGUUUGAUCCUGGCUCAGAUUGAACGCUGGCGGCAUGCUUUACACAUGCAAGUCGAACGGCAGCGCGGGGGCAACCCUGGCGGCGAGUGGCGAACGGGUGAGUAAUGCAUCGGAACGUAUCCUGUAAUGGGGGAUAACGUAGCGAAAGUUACGCUAAUACCGCAUACGACCUGAGGGUGAAAGCGGGGGAUCGCAAGACCUCGCGCGAUUGGAGCGGCCGAUAUCAGAUUAGGUAGUUGGUGGGGUAAAGGCCUACCAAGCCUACGAUCUGUAGCUGGUCUGAGAGGACGACCAGCCACACUGGGACUGAGACACGGCCCAGACUCCUACGGGAGGCAGCAGUGGGGAAUUUUGGACAAUGGACGCAAGUCUGAUCCAGCCAUGCCGCGUGCGGGAAGAAGGCCUUCGGGUUGUACACCGCUUUUGUCAGGGAAGAAAAGGUUCUGGUUAAUACCUGGGACUCAUGACGGUACCUGAAGAAUAAGCACCGGCUAACUACGUGCCAGCAGCCGCGGUAAUACGUAGGGGUGCAAGCGUUAAUCGGAAUUACUGGGCGUAAAGCGUGCGCAGGCGGUUAUGCAAGACAGAGGUGAAAUCCCCGGGCUCAACCUGGGAACUGCCUUUGUGACUGCAUAGCUAGAGUACGGUAGAGGGGGGGAUUGGAAUUUCCGCGUGGUAGCAGUGAAAUUGCGUAAAUUAUGCCGGAAGGAACACCGGAUGGGCGAAGGCUAUUUCCCCUGGAACCUGGUACUGACGCUCAUGCACGAAAGGCGUGGAGGAAGCAAAACAGGAUUAGAUACCGCUGGUAGUCCCACGCCCUAAACGAUGUCAGCUGGUUGUUGGGGGAAGGUUUUCCUUCCUCAGUUACCGUUAGCUAACGCGAUUGAAGUCGGAACGGCUGAGGAGUUACGCCGCUUGGAUCGAACCUCGAAGGAAUUGACGGCACCCGCCACA